UCAGUCGACUCCUACGGGGAGGCAGCAGUGGGGAAUAUUGCACAAUGGGGGAAACCCUGAUGCAGCCAUGCCGCGUGUGUGAAGAAGGACCUUCGGGUUGUAAAGCACUUUCAGUAGGGAGGAAGGUAGUGUAGUUAACACCUGCACUAUUUGACGUUACCUACAGAAGAAGCACCGGCUAACUCCGUGCCAGCAGCCGCGGUAAUACGGAGGGUGCGAGCGUUAAUCGGAAAUUACUGGGCGUAAAGCGCAUGCAGGCGGCCUGUUAAGUCAGAUGUGAAAGCCCGGGGCUUAACCUCGGAAUUGCAUUUGAAACUGGCAGGCUAGAGUCUUGUAGAGGGGGGUAGGAAUUUCAGGUGUAGCGGUGAAAUGCGUAGAGAUCUGAAGGAAUACCAGUGGCGAAGGCGGCCCCCUGGACAAAGACUGACGCUCAGAUGCGAAAGCGUGGGGAGCAAACAGGAUUAGAUACCCCUGGUAG
rnacentral:rRNA from 1 species